GACGAACGCUGGCGGCGCGCUUAACACAUGCAAGUCGAACGGAAAGGCCUGCUUUCCCUUGUGGAUUGCGGGUACUCGAGUGGCGAACGGGUGAGUAACACGUGAGUGAUCUGCCCCCAACUUGGGUAUAAGCCUGGGAAACUGGGUCUAAUUCCCGAUAGGACUGCAGGGUGGUGCCUGUGGUGGAAAACGAUUUUCUAGUGGUUGGGGAUGAGCUCGCGGCCUAUCAGCUUGUUGGUGGGGUAAUGGACUACCAAGGCGGCGACGGGUAGCCGGCCUGGGAUGGUGGACGGCCACAUUGGGACUGAGAUACGGCCCAGACUCCUACGGGAGGCAGCAGUGGGGAAUAUUGCACAAUGGGCGGAAGCCUGAUGCAGCGACGCCGCGUGGGGGAUGACGGCCUUCGGGUUGUAAACUCCUUUCGACCGCGAGGAAGCCACCUGGUUGGAAGGGUGGUGACGGUAGUGGUAGAAGAAGCACCGGCUAACUACGUG
rnacentral:rRNA from 1 species